rnacentral:rRNA from 1 species
GAUGAACGCUGGCGGCGUGCCUAAUACAUGCCAGUCGAGCGAACGGACGAGAAGCUUGCUUCUCUGAUGUUAGCGGCGGACGGGUGAGUAACACGUGGAUAACCUACCUAUAAGACUGGGAUAACUUCGGGAAACCGGAGCUAAUACCGGAUAAUAUUUUGAACCGCAUGGUUCAAAAGUGAAAGACGGUCUUGCUGUCACUUAUAGAUGGAUCCGCGCUGCAUUAGCUAGUUGGUAAGGUAACGGCUUACCAAGGCAACGAUGCAUAGCCGACCUGAGAGGGUGAUCGGCCACACUGGAACUGAGACACGGUCCAGACUCCUACGGGAGGCAGCAGUAGGGAAUCUUCCGCAAUGGGCGAAAGCCUGACGGAGCAACGCCGCGUGAGUGAUGAAGGUCUUCGAAUCGUAAAACUCUGUUAUUAGGGAAGAACAUAUGUGUAAGUAACUGUGCACAUCUUGACGGUACCUAAUCAGAAAGCCACGGCUAACUACGUG